AGCCGCCUCGGGAAUCUAGAGCCUCAGUGAUCUAGAGCCUCAGGAAUCUAGAGCCUCUGGGAGCUGGAGCCGCCUCGGAAACGUAGAGAAAAAUUGGUGGUCAGGAAACUAGUUUUUGUGAAGAGAACAACUGGUUGUAUUUCUGAUUGAAUCGUUGUUAGCGGACGUUCAGUUAAUUCACCGUGUGCUAAAAUGGAAUUGAACAAGGAGCAAAGUUAAAAGAGAAAGAUCAUCAACGUGUACCAAGAUAUUUACCAAUGAAAAGAACAGAGUGAUUAAUUUUCACACAGCUUCAAGAUCACAUUGACCUCCAGUAUUGCCAGUCUCCCAUUUGUUUUAAAUGGAAUUAAACCUGCUCCACCUGUGUCUUCUGCAUCAUCUAUUCCGACCCUUACCCCCUACCACCUCCCAGCGGCAAUUUCAACGUUUUCACCACCGGCAUCUUGUGGGCAGGAUCAUGCCUUUGAAAAAGUUAUUAUUGCUCCAUCUAUUAAUGAGAAACUUUUCGUAUUAAAAUUAAUCAUCGUUCUAGA